AACUGGUUAAUAAGCAUUUAGCUCUAUUGUCAGUAGAGUGAUGAGAGAAAUACGAGUGGCUGAAUGCAAAGUAUUGCAUGAAAUUGUUUUCUGUGUGUUUUCAGUACUGCAGCUUGUUUGACAACAGCUCUGUCUGUCCUUUGCAGGUAUUCUACUGGACCUGCUUAUCUUCAUUUUCAUUUUUCACUUCUGCUAGCAGCUUUCAAGUGUCUGUGCUUCAUAGACAAUGUUUGCUGUUCAGGAUAGUCAUGAUAGAAGCAUUAUUUUGAGAAACUGGAGGCUGCCAACCAUACUAGAAGACAGCUUUGGAAGCAGAUUUUAUUCCAUGGACUACAACUGGCCACCCUUCAAGUAUAGGUGAACCCAGGAACCUGAUGAGGUCCCAUAUGGAUCUGUCUGCCUCAUUCCACCCAGCUCUUUCCUGAGGGGUUCAGAGUGCCACUGCUGCUGAGAGCAUUCCUGUUGUGACAAGCAACCACUAAGUGCUGCU